CGCUCAGGACGAACGCUGGCGGCGUGCCUAAUACAUGCAAGUCGAACGAACUCUGGUAUUGAUUGGUGCUUGCAUCAUGAUUUACAUUUGAGUGAGUGGCGAACUGGUGAGUAACACGUGGGAAACCUGCCCAGAAGCGGGGGAUAACACCUGGAAACAGAUGCUAAUACCGCAUAACAACUUGGACCGCAUGGUCCGAGCUUGAAAGAUGGCUUCGGCUAUCACUUUUGGAUGGUCCCGCGGCGUAUUAGCUAGAUGGUGGGGUAACGGCUCACCAUGGCAAUGAUACGUAGCCGACCUGAGAGGGUAAUCGGCCACAUUGGGACUGAGACACGGCCCAAACUCCUACGGGAGGCAGCAGUAGGGAAUCUUCCACAAUGGACGAAAGUCUGAUGGAGCAACGCCGCGUGAGUGAAGAAGGGUUUCGGCUCGUAAAACUCUGUUGUUAAAGAAGAACAUAUCUGAGAGUAACUGUUCAGGUAUUGACGGUAUUUAACCAGAAAGCCACGGCUAACUACGUGCCAGCAGCCGCGGUAAUACGUAGGUGGCAAGCGUUGUCCGGAUUUAUUGGGCGUAAAGCGAGCGCAGGCGGUUUUUUAAGUCUGAUGUGAAAGCCUUCGGCUCAACCGAAGAAGUGCAUCGGAAACUGGGAAACUUGAGUGCAGAAGAGGACAGUGGAACUCCAUGUGUAGCGGUGAAAUGCGUAGAUAUAUGGAAGAACACCAGUGGCGAAGGCGGCUGUCUGGUCUGUAACUGACGCUGAGGCUCGAAAGUAUGGGUAGCAAACAGGAUUAGAUACCCUGGUAGUCCAUACCGUAAACGAUGAAUGCUAAGUGUUGGAGGGUUUCCGCCCUUCAGUGCUGCAGCUAACGCAUUAAGCAUUCCGCCUGGGGAGUACGGCCGCAAGGCUGAAACUCAAAGGAAUUGACGGGGGCCCGCACAAGCGGUGGAGCAUGUGGUUUAAUUCGAAGCUACGCGAAGAACCUUACCAGGUCUUGACAUACUAUGCAAAUCUAAGAGAUUAGACGUUCCCUUCGGGGACAUGGAUACAGGUGGUGCAUGGUUGUCGUCAGCUCGUGUCGUGAGAUGUUGGGUUAAGUCCCGCAACGAGCGCAACCCUUAUUAUCAGUUGCCAGCAUUAAGUUGGGCACUCUGGUGAGACUGCCGGUGACAAACCGGAGGAAGGUGGGGAUGACGUCAAAUCAUCAUGCCCCUUAUGACCUGGGCUACACACGUGCUACAAUGGAUGGUACAACGAGUUGCGAACUCGCGAGAGUAAGCUAAUCUCUUAAAGCCAUUCUCAGUUCGGAUUGUAGGCUGCAACUCGCCUACAUGAAGUCGGAAUCGCUAGUAAUCGCGGAUCAGCAUGCCGCGGUGAAUACGUUCCCGGGCCUUGUACACACCGCCCGUCACACCAUGAGAGUUUGUAACACCCAAAGUCGGUGGGGUAACCUUUUAGGAACCAGCCGCCUAAGGUGGGACAGAUGAUUAGGGUG
rnacentral:rRNA from 1 species